rnacentral:rRNA from 1 species
CCUACGGGUGGCUGCAGUGAGGAAUAUUGGUCAAUGGUCGGGAGACUGAACCAGCCAAGCCGCGUGAGGGAGGAAGGUCCAGAGUAUCGUAAACCUCUUUUGUCAGGGAACAAAGACUGGGACGCGUCCCCGGAGGAGUGUACCUGAAGAAAAAGAAUCGGCUAUCUCCGUGCAAGCAGCCGCGGUAAUAGGGAGGAUGCAAGCGUUAUCCGGUUUUAUGGGGUUUAAAGGGUGCGAAGGCGGACUGUUAAGUCAGCGGGAAAAGCCCGGGGCUCAACCCCGGCGCGCCGUUGAAACUGGCAGUCUCGAGUGGGAGAGAAGUAUGCGGAAUGCGCGGUGUAGCGGUGAAAUGCAUAGAAAUCGCGCAGAACUCCGAUUGCGAAGGCAGCAUGCCGGCUCCACACUGACGCUGAGGCACGAAAGCGUGGGUAUCGAACAGGAUUAGAUACCCGAGUAGUC